rnacentral:rRNA from 1 species
UGCAGUCGAACGGCAGCGCGGGCUUCGGCCUGGCGGCGAGUGGCGAACGGGUGAGUAAUAUAUCGGAACGUACCCAAGAGUGGGGGAUAACGUAGCGAAAGUUACGCUAAUACCGCAUACGAUCUAAGGAUGAAAGCAGGGGAUCUUCGGACCUUGUGCUCCUGGAGCGGCCGAUAUCUGAUUAGCUAGUUGGUGAGGUAAAGGCUCACCAAGGCAACGAUCAGUAGCUGGUCUGAGAGGACGACCAGCCACACUGGAACUGAGACACGGUCCAGACUCCUACGGGAGGCAGCAGUGGGGAAUUUUGGACAAUGGGGGCAACCCUGAUCCAGCAAUGCCGCGUGAGUGAAGAAGGCCUUCGGGUUGUAAAGCUCUUUUGUCAGGGAAGAAAAGGGUCUGGCUAAUAUCCAGGCCUGCUGACGGUACCUGAAGAAUAAGCACCGGCUAACUACGUGCCAGCAGCCGCGGUAAUACGUAGGGUGCAAGCGUUAAUCGGAAUUACUGGGCGUAAAGCGUGCGCAGGCGGUUUUGUAAGUCUGUCGUGAAAUCCCCGGGCUUAACCUGGGAAUGGCGAUGGAGACUGCAAGGCUAGAGUUUGGCAGAGGGGGGUAGAAUUCCACGUGUAGCAGUGAAAUGCGUAGAGAUGUGGAGGAACACCGAUGGCGAAGGCAGCCCCCUGGGUCAAAACUGACGCUCAUGCACGAAAGCGUGGGGAGCAAACAGGAUUAGAUACCCUGGUAGUCCACGCCCUAAACGAUGUCUACUAGUUGUUGGGUCUUAAUUGACUUAGUAACGCAGCUAACGCGUGAAGUANACCGCCUGGGGAGUACGGUCGCAAGAUUAAAACUC